rnacentral:rRNA from 1 species
AGAGUUUGAUCAUGGCUCAGAUUGAACGCUGGCGGCAUGCCUUACACAUGCAAGUCGAACGGUAACAGGUCUUCGGAUGCUGACGAGUGGCGAACGGGUGAGUAAUACAUCGGAACGUGCCCGAUCGUGGGGGAUAACGGAGCGAAAGCUUUGCUAAUACCGCAUACGAUCUACGGAUGAAAGCAGGGGACCGCAAGGCCUUGCGCGGACGGAGCGGCCGAUGGCAGAUUAGGUAGUUGGUGGGAUAAAAGCUUACCAAGCCGACGAUCUGUAGCUGGUCUGAGAGGACGACCAGCCACACUGGGACUGAGACACGGCCCAGACUCCUACGGGAGGCAGCAGUGGGGAAUUUUGGACAAUGGGCGCAAGCCUGAUCCAGCCAUGCCGCGUGCAGGAUGAAGGCCUUCGGGUUGUAAACUGCUUUUGUACGGAACGAAAAGACUCUGGUUAAUACCUGGAGUCCAUGACGGUACCGUAAGAAUAAGCACCGGCUAACUACGUGCCAGCAGCCGCGGUAAUA